GCUCACUGCAACCUCUGCCUCCCCGGUUCAAGCAAAUCUUCUGCCUCGGCCACCCAAGUGGCUGGGAUUACAGGUACCCGCUACCACAUCCAGCUAAUUUUUUGUAUCUUUAGUAGAGACGGGGUUUCUCCAUGUUGGUCAGGCUGGUCUCAAACUCCUGACCUCAGGUGAUCCACCCACCUUGGCCUCCCAAAGUACUGGGAUUAGAGGUGUGAGCCACUGCAUCGGGCUCGGGCCUUUUUUUUUUUUUAAAGAGAGAGUUUGCUCUGUCACCCAGGCUGGAGUGCAGGUGGCAUGAUCUCGGCUCACUGCAGCCUCCACCUCCCGGGUUCAAGCAAUUUUCCCACCUCAGCCUCCCAAGUAGCUGGGAUUACAGGCACCCACCACCAUGCCUGACUAAUUUUUGUAUUUUUAGUAGAUACAGGGUUUCACCAUGUUGGCCAGGCUGAUCUCGAACUCCUGAUCCCAGGUGAUCCACCCGCCCCGGCUUCCCAAAGUACUGGGAUUACAGGUGUGAGCCACCGCGCCCGGCCGAGACUCUUUUGAUGUCAGAAAAAAUGCUGAAUGCCAGAAUCUGGGCUCCUGGUGUGUGGGCGGCUCCACAUCGGGCUUUGGCACGAGACUUCCAGGAGGAAUGGUGAGAAUGCAGGGGUGGGCUGCCAGGAGCCUGAGGAGCCCGUCCACAUCUGCCAGGCACCGUCUGUACGAGAGGCCAGCUUCCAGCGUGGCUGAGGUCCCAGGUCCCUCCGUGCCCAGCAAUGCCUGUGUCCCAGACAGCACAGGUUGCUGCCUCCUUCUCACCAGCAGGACCUGCUGAGCAUCUGAGCUGCCUGGGGUGUCACAGGACAAGCCACAGAGAAAGCUGUGAAUUCCUCAUUGGAGGAGGCGAAAGAAACACACUACAAACUACCACGGGGGCCUGGAUUGGAUCUGGACCCAUAAAAGAUGUCACUGGGGACGCCCGUGAAAUUCUCCUGGGUCUGUGGUUCAUGGUGAUGUCAUGCCAAUAUCUGGAUCUGGCCCUGGUUGCGAUGGUCUGCUGUGGUUAAGGGGAGACACGGG
rnacentral:lncRNA from 1 species